rnacentral:rRNA from 1 species
AGGGCACCACCAGGAGUGGAGCCUGCGGCUUAAUUUGACUCAACACGGGAAAACUCACCCGGCCCGGACACUGAAAGGAUUGACAGAUUGAGAGCUCUUUCUUGAUUCGGUGGGUGGUGGUGCAUGGCCGUUCUUAGUUGGUGGAGUGAUUUGUCUGGUUAAUUCCGAUAACGAACGAGACUCUAGCCUACUAAAUAGAUCGUCGGCUUACAAACGCCGGCGAGACUUCUUAGAGGGACAGGCGGUGAUUCAACCGCACGAAACAGAGCAAUAACAGGUCUGUGAUGCCCUUAGAUGUCCGGGGCCGCACGCGCGCUACACUGAAGUGAUCAGCGUGCUUUUUCAACCUACUCUGUCAAGAGUGGGGAACCCAAUGAACCUUCUUCGUGAUUGGGAUAGGGGAUUGUAAUUAUUCCCCUUGAACGAGGAAUUCCCAGUAAGCGCGAGUCAUAAGCUCGCGUUGAUUACGUCCCUGCCCUUUGUACACACCGCCCGUCGCUACUACCGAUUGAAUGUUUU